CAGAGCCAAGGAAGCUGCACAGGGACAAGGGCUGAUGAUAUUGAAAGUUCAUAUGGAUCAGAAAGUCACAUGAAGAGUUCACACCGAGUCUCAGAGGAGCCAAUGAACAAAAUCUGGGACUAUAAAGACCAUGAAGUCCUUUGAAGAGUGACUAAGCGCAUUGUACACCGAGAUGCACAGGAGCCUGUAGAAACUAAGACAUUUGGAGCAGCAGGAUGCCAUUGAGAAGAGGUUGGGAAUGUUAAAGCUGUAAGUUCCAGUCCAUUCUCAGAAAGCUAACCAAGAGACGUCUUGUAUCAGAUCAACUCUCAGAAUCAGAAGGUCUCAGAGGGCAUAAGAGUGGGCCAGUUCCUACGUAAGAGUUGGUCCUUCAGCAUGUGGUUGCAGAUUACAUCUCCAAGGCUGAGGCAGGAACCUGGCUGCUUCCUCCAGCUGGAGCACUGGGUCUUGAUCUGUUUGUGCUAGUGGUUUAGAGGAAAGCUACAGUCUUCCUCCUCAUCUUCUUCCAUUAGUGGCCCUAUGAGUGUGACUAUAGAGUCAUCAAUCUUCCGUCAAAGUCAGG
rnacentral:lncRNA from 1 species